AGGAUGAACGCUGGCGGCGUGCUUAACACAUGCAAGUCGAACGGUGAAGUGAGGAGCUUGCUCCUUGCGGAUCAGUGGCGAACGGGUGAGUAACACGUGAGUAACCUGCCCUUGACUCUGGGAUAAGCACUGGAAACGGUGUCUAAUACCGGAUACGACCUCCGAAGGCAUCUUCUGGAAGUGGAAAGAAUUUCGGUCAAGGAUGGACUCGCGGCCUAUCAGCUAGUUGGUGAGGUAACGGCCCACCAAGGCGACGACGGGUAGCCGGCCUGAGAGGGUGACCGGCCACACUGGGACUGAGACACGGCCCAGACUCCUACGGGAGGCAGCAGUGGGGAAUAUUGCACAAUGGGCGCAAGCCUGAUGCAGCAACGCCGCGUGAGGGACGACGGCCUUCGGGUUGUAAACCUCUUUUAGUAGGGAAGAAGCGAAGUGACGGUACCUGCAGAAAAGCACCGGCUAACUACGUGCCAGCAGCCGCGGU
rnacentral:rRNA from 1 species